CACAGAGGAUUCCUCAUCGUCACACAGAGUCUGUGGCAGAGCAGGUCUCUGCGUCCCAGAGGAAGUCACAAGCCCGUCCCCCUCCCCUUAAGCACACUGAUAGGUCAGCUGCAGCUGACUUGAACCCACAAGAUCUGCGAUGAGCUCCCCAAACUCCUCCCUCUUUCUCUCCCUCGGUUUCUAAUAAAUUUUCCACAGCUGUGUAGCUGCCCUCACAGACGUGACGUUUGUAUUCCUCUCAGGCAGCGGCAAUAGCUGGGCGUUUGAAACUGGGUCGGUACAGACAGAAGUUACUAUGGAGACGUGUUUUAUUCUCAGCAUUUGGAUAUUCAGCCUCCUAGGUGCUGCGCUGGGCGACUCUGUCCAGUCCAAGGAACCCGAAGUGUCUGGAUCAGCUGGGGGUUCUGUGACACUCAGCUGUUCUUACACCACCGGCGGUAGCUAUGUCUCUCUCUACUGGUACCGUCAGUAUCCGAACCAGGCCCCGCAGUACAUUCUCUGGAGAGGAGCGAAGUCAGCCAGCCAUCUCAAUGAUACCGCAGAUUUUGCCAAGGAGAGGUUUUCUUCCCAGGCUGAUCACAACUCCACAGUUCUGAAUAUCAGAGCCCUGGAGCUGGCGGACAGCGCGGUGUAUUACUGCGCCCUGCAGAGAGCACAGUGACACAGCCACGUAGCAGAGCCGAACAAAAACCCUCCCUUCCCAGCUGCAGAUAAUGCUGUGCACAUUGAGGUUGGAAGCGGAGCCCCU